ACUUAAGGAUGUUGGUGGCAGUUAUUUAAGAAAUCUCAGGUGCAAAAAUGAAAAAAAUCUGACAACUUCAAGGGUCCUUCAAGGUAUCACACCGGUAAUUGACCAAUCAAAAUGAACUUAGUCAAUUGUAGUUCCAUACAUAUAAAAUUAAUUUUUCUUUCUUUUGAUAAUUUUUUUAAUUUUCUUCCAGGCUAUUUUUACAACUUUGGUACCUGUGCCUAGUAAAUUUAAUGUACUUUGUAAAUAAAUACAGUUUUUUGACAGGAACUAUUUUUUUCAGGGCAUAGGAGGCUACUUCCUGGGGUGCACUGGAGCUGUUUAUAAACACAUUGAAAACACGUGGAUUUGAGGGUAGCCCUGUUUGCAGAUGGAAAAAAUCAGAAAAUGCCGUGUAGGUACCCUGUUUUUUGGACUCGGCUAAUGAGAGAGGAGGCUACUUCCUGGGGUGCACUGGAGCUGUUUAUAAACACAUUGAAAACACGUGGAUUUGAGGGUAGCCCUGUUUGCAGAUGGAAAAAAUCAGAAAAUGCCGUGUAGGUACCCUGUUUUUUGGACUCGGCUAAUGAGAGAGGAGGCUACUUCCUGGGGUGCACUGGAGCUGUUUAUAAACACAUUGAAAACACGUGGAUUUGAGGGUAGCCCUGUUUGCAGAUGGAAAAAAUCAGAAAAUGCCGUGUAGGUACCCUGUUUUUUGGACUCGGCUAAUGAGAGAGGAGGCUACUUCCUGGGGUGCACUGGAGCUGUUUAUAAACACAUUGAAAACACGUGGAUUUGAGGGUAGCCCUGUUUGCAGAUGGAAAAAAUCAGAAAAUGCCGUGUAGGUACCCUGUUUUUUGGACUCGGCUAAUGAGAGAGGAGGCUACUUCCUGGGGUGCACUGGAGCUGUUUAUAAACACAUUGAAAACACGUGGAUUUGAGGGUAGCCCUGUUUGCAGAUGGAAAAAAUCAGAAAAUGCCGUGUAGGUACCCUGUUUUUUGGACUCGGCUAAUGAGAGAGGAGGCUACUUCCUGGGGUGCACUGGAGCUGUUUAUAAACACAUUGAAAACACGUGGAUUUGAGGGUAGCCCUGUUUGCAGAUGGAAAAAAUCAGAAAAUGCCGUGUAGGUACCCUGUUUUUUGGACUCGGCUAAUGAGAGAG